UCUCUGGUAGUAUAUCGGAUAGUACAUCCGCCUGUCAUGAGACGGGUCCGCGGAAGAGCGGGGUUCGACUCCCCGCCAGAGAG